CUAUCGGGGUGGGACUAAGACAUGCGAGUCGAGCGUCUCUAGCUAUGUUGAGACGCGGCAUACGGCUCAGUAACACGUGGCUAACCUACCCUCAGGACGGGGACAAACCCGGGAAACUGGGGCUAAUAUCCGAUAGGUGAGGAUGCCUGGAAUGGUUUCUCACUCAAAGGGCUUUAGGAACAUGCUUCUAAAGUCGCCUGGGGAUGGGGCCGCGACCGAUCAGGUUGUUGGUGAGGUAAUGGCUCACCAAGCCUAUAACCGGUACGGGCCGUGAGAGCGGUAGCCCGGAGAUGGGUACUGAGACAAGGACCCAGGCCUUACGGGGCGCAGCAGUCGCGAAAACUCCGCAAUGCACGAAAGUGUGACGGGGCUACCCCGAGUGCCAUCCGCUGAGGAUGGCUCUUCCUUGGUAUAACUAGCCAGGGGAAUAAGGAGAGGGCAAGACUGGUGUCAGCCGCCGCGGUAAUACCAGCUCUUCGAGUGGUAGGGACGAUUAUUGGGCUUAAAGCGUCCGUAGCCGGCUUAGCGAGUCUCCUGUUAAAUUCAGCGACCUAAUCGUUGAGCCGCGGGAGAUACUACUAGGCUAGGAGGCGGGAGAGGUCGACGGUACUUCUGGGGUAGGGGUGAAAUCCUCUAAUCCCAGGAGGACCACCAGUGGCGAAGGCUGUUGACUAGAACGCGCUCGACGGUGAGGGACGAAAGCUGGGGGAGCAAACCGGAUUAGAUACCCGGGUAGUCCCAGCCGUAAACGAUGCGGGCUAGGUGUUGGGGUGGCUACGUGCCACUUCAGUGCCGCAGGGAAACCAUUAAGCCCGCCGCCUGGGGAGUACGGCCGCAAGGCUGAAACUUAAAGGAAUUGGCGGGAAGGGCGAAUUCG
rnacentral:rRNA from 1 species